AAACUUUCAACAACGGAUCUCUUGGUUCUGGCAUCGAUGAAGAACGCAGCGAAAUGCGAUAAGUAGUGUGAAUUGCAGAAUUCAGUGAAUCAUCGAAUCUUUGAACGCACAUUGCGCCCGCCAGUAUUCUGGCGGGCAUGCCUGUUCGAGCGUCAUUU
rnacentral:rRNA from 1 species